UAUUAUAAUUAUUUAUUUCAUAUAAUCACAGUAAUAUGGAUUGUGAGUUUCUAUGGUUUUCCAUAAAAAAACCUACUAUGAGAUAGCAAUU
rnacentral:ncRNA from 1 species